AGCAGCCGCGGUAAUUCCAGCUCCAAUAGCGUAUAUUAAAGUUGUUGCAGUUAAAAAGCUCGUAGUUGAAUUUCGGGGUUCUACCGUUGGUCAGGCUAUUGUCUGUACUGGCGUGUAGAAUUUCUACCUUCUGGGGAACUAUCAUGUUAUUAAUUUAGCGUGGUAGGAAACCAGGACCUUUACCUUGAAAAAAUUAGAGUGUUCAAAGCAGGCUUAUGUCUGAAUACAUUAGCAUGGAAUAAUGAAAUAGGACGACGAUCCUAUUUUGUUGGUUUCUAGGAUUGACGUAAUGAUUAAUAGGGAUAGUUGGGGGCAUUAGUAUUCAAUUGUCAGAGGUGAAAUUCUUGGAUUUAUUGAAGACUGACUACUGCGAAAGCAUUUGCCAAGGAUGUUUUCAUUAAUCAAGAACGAAAGUUAGGGGAUCGAAGACGAUCAGAUACCGUCGUAGUCUUAACCAUAAACUAUGCCGACUAGGGAUCGGAUGAUGUUAAUUUUAUAAUGACUCA
rnacentral:rRNA from 1 species